rnacentral:rRNA from 1 species
UACGUAGGGUGCGAGCGUGUCCGGAAUUACUGGGCGUAAAGAGCUCGUAGGUGGUUUGUCGCGUUGUCCGUGAAAACUCACAACUCAAUUGUGGGCGUGCGGGCGAUACGGGCAGACUGGAGUACUGCAGGGGAGACUGGAAUUCCUGGUGUAGCGGUGGAAUGCGUAGAGAUCCGCAAGAACACCAGUGGCGAAGGCGGCUCACUGGCC